UGCCAGACUCCUACGGGAGGCAGCAGUGGGGAAUAUUGCACAAUGGGGGAAACCCUGACGCAGCGACGCCGCGUGAGUGAAGAAGUAUUUCGGUAUGUAAAGCUCUAUCAGCAGGGAAGAAAAUGACGGUACCUGACUAAGAAGCCCCGGCUAACUACGUGCCAGCAGCCGCGGUAAUACGUAGGGGGCAAGCGUUAUCCGGAUUUACUGGGUGUAAAGGGAGCGUAGACGGCAUGGCAAGUCAGAUGUGAAAGCCCGGGGCUCAACCCCGGGACUGCAUUUGAAACUGUCAGGCUGGAGUGCAGGAGAGGUAAGUGGAAUUCCUAGUGUAGCGGUGAAAUGCGUAGAUAUUAGGAGGAACACCAGUGGCGAAGGCGGCUUACUGGACUGUAACUGACGUUGAGGCUCGAAAGCGUGGGGAGCAAACAGGAUUAGAUCCCCUCGUA
rnacentral:rRNA from 1 species